UGAAAAAUGUGCAUAAAAUUAUAGAGCUCAUUGUUCGACCUUCAUCUUAAGUAUUUGAUUUUCCUUUUGCAACCACAGUAUUUGAUUCUUCAGAUUAGCCACUACACCCUGCUUAUCAAACAAAUCAUUUCAACAAAACAAAAAUUAAACAAAAAUAUCGAAACAAAACUAAGAAACUCUAUUAUCAGAUUUCAGUUACUUAAAUUCAGUUAUGGGCAAUUACUCAUUUUGAAUUACUUAAUUUUAUUGGAU
rnacentral:lncRNA from 1 species